CUUUAAACAGAGAUUUUCCUUAGGAUUUCAGAGUGCUGGCAAAACAAAAGAAAGAAAGAAAAAGAAUUGCUAGACGUGGAGCUGAGAGGGAAAUAGGGAGAGCAAAAGAAUUGGAUGAAAUCACAGUUGUCAUGAGGUAUAUUUGCAACAUGCCUACAUCAAGUUUAACUCUUGAAAGAAAACAGAAAUGGAAGGAAAGACCGGUGGAGUCACGUCUGACAAAAAGACAAGUGUCCUGUGCUCUAGAUUGGAAACUUAUUCUUAGUAGUCCCAUAACCAACUCAGGAUGUCACUGUUACAGAAAAGGAAGAGCAAAUGAAAGAACAUCUCUGCCUGGACUCCACCUCAUGAUCCAGUUCUGAUGAGGACCAUUGGACUAAAUCAAUUUGCUAUUCUGAUGACAAUUGAUCCUCAAUGGAGUAUCUGGAGGAAGAAUUCUACCACAAUAUACUUCUUAGCAACUCCCUGAUUUCAUCUUCAGGCUAUCUAACUCUGGUGGAUCUUAAUGUACCUUCUGUUUAAUUGGUUAUACAGACAUUCCUAACUAUGAGCAGUUGCAUUAUACAAUUUUUAUCAUUAUUUAUUUAAAUCAGUGUGUUUGUCUAGUAGCCCCACUUAUCUACAGGAUAUGCUACAAGACCUUAAGUAGGUACCACUUCUAUCAUGCUUCUCUCUGAACAUACUCUCUCAACUGCCUAACCAUAUCCUGACAGUAACAUUCGCUAUCUGAGGUACAGUAACAAAACUAUUAUGGAUUUUGUUUCUUGUCUUCAUUAUUUCACAGCCAGAACCUUUGUUAAUGUAGAUGCUAGCACCCUUGGGAAGGAAGUUGUUCUCUUUUCUAAGUUGAGAGCUCUGACCUUCCCACUUAAAUGUCCUUUUGGGUUUCUUGUCGACACAGAUGAAUUGCCAGCACUGUUACUUUUGUACUUUGGGGCCAAUAUUAAAUAAGGGCUGCCUGGACACUAGCACUGUAAUGGUAUGACAGUUAAUCUGAUUGCCAGCCACCACAUGAGUAAUGGGCAGGUAGAGUCUUCUGUGAGAAUUGCACAGACAAAGGGAUGGCUCAUUUCAGAUGGAGAGAGGAAGGAUGGUAAAUGGUUCCAUCAUGUGGUCAAGAAUAACUGACAAUUGAAAGCUUGUAGGAGGCUUAAUUUGGGAAAUUCCCAUUUAAUACUUUUGAACAAAAGGUGAUCUGAGUAACAAGCCACAGAAAGAGAAAAUUGUAAAAAAACAAGGCACUACUAUACUUAAAUAAAUUUUUCUAUGGGAAGAAUACCUUGAGCAAUUUAUAGAAUAAGCAGUAGUCUUUGAAGUCCUAUCAAAGCCUUGUAUACAUAUCUAGAUGCUACAUAUACUGUCAAUGUAAACAAAUCAUAUUUCAGCUAUGCUUAUUACAUACAGAAUUACUUUUUAAAAAGUAAGAAGUUGAACCCUUCUAGCAAAUACCAAGGACAUGUGACACGACAUGGCAAAGGUGUCUUCCUAUUGGGUACCUACAAGGCUAGAGACUCACCCAUUCAAUUGCACGUAAACCAGAAGCUUGUUACGUCAUCUUCUCACUCUAAUUCACAUGAAGGGACAGAGGACCAUGAUCUGCUUGGGAAAUAGGAAAUGAUUCUUCUCCACACUUUUCACAAAUAGGUUGUUUGCAAAACAUGUAAAGACGUGCUCUUAAGACAUCAGUGCAUAGGGUCACAGUGAUAGGUGCCAACCCAUUCCUAAUUUUGAUUAAUUUGUUCAUUAUAUCCACCCAACACAUCACUAAAUGCAGUAUUACUACACACAAGACUUAUAUUGUGGCUUAUAAUUUAGAAAGUACCUUCACAGUAUGCUUUAAUGUAAUGCCAACAAUAGUUCUCUCAGUUAGGUGUUUUAUCUACUAACAGUGACUGAGACUGUUGAGUGGAGUACUAGGCCAGAGGAUGCACUACUACUAAGUACUGAAGAUGCGAGUCUAAGCCAGAUUUUUAGAAAGUGUCGCGGAUGAUGCGUAUGAUGUGUAACAGGUGUGCCAAGCCCCCCACGUGGAGGUCAGAAGACAACUUGGUGAAGCUGAAUUUCUCCUUCCAGGUUUACAUGGAUUAAGGUCUUCAGGCUGCAUUGGAAGGUGGUAAGUACGCUUACCACUGAGCCAUCUGGCUAGUCUAAGCCAGACUUCUGAUACGCAACUUUAUUGCUCUUUCUGUUACAUCAGACUGACAGCAAAAUUCAUAUUGUCAAAUGACUAAAGGUUGGGUGCACAAAUGAACAUGGAGUACCUCUACAAGUCUUUCUUUUAGAGAACACAGAAUCCUUCUGAGUAUUAACUUACAGUUUCUUUAAGUCCACCAUUAUGGAAACAAUUGGAUUUUCUGCCAAGAACCAUUAAAGCUGAUUUGACAAGAAUGACGAGGCUCUUUGAGAGUUGAUUGACUGUCAGCACAAGGCUUUUAGAGCUUGCUAAAAUUGCAUCAACUAUAAGCGAAAGAAAUGGAUGGAUCUACAAAGAGAUUCAAAAGAAAGUUCGUGACAUAAAAAGCAAAUGGUAGAUUGGUCAAGUAUAUAUACAUUCAUCCAACAGCUCUCUGAUUCCUAUCAAAGUUCAUUUGUUUCGUCUACAACUUUCUAUGGUCUUCACACUCAGAAACUCCCUGAGGACUAAAUUGAUCAAUGAUGAUGGGGAAAAACAUCAGUUUGUUCUUAUUGAGAAACUUUCAGAAGAAAUAUUUAGCUGAGUCUUUUGUUGAGAUAUACCUUUGGUUUUCAUUUCCUGGUUAGAGCAUCUAAAUUGUUCUGUGUUUACAACCCUGUCAAUACAUCAACAGGGAGUGUCAACGGAUACCGAGAUCUUUGAAGGACACAGAUUUGUUGUUGGAUUCAGAAGGUGAGGUCUGGACUUCUUUCAUGAAACCACCUUUUGAAGAUCUAUAGGGAUGAUGAUGAAUUUAAUAUGAUUAUAAUUUUAAAGAAAAAAAGACAGCAAAGUUUUUAUUUCUUUUUUUUUCAACCAACAUAUCUAAUAUUGUAUCCAUACAACAUAUUUGAAUGCUCUAUACUUAAAGGGAAACAAACCGAUGAGCAAAUAUAAUUAUCUAUUUGUGGCUUUUCUCUAAUUGUAUAAAAUUCUAGGUAUCAACAAAAUUAAAAGUAGUUAUUGUC
rnacentral:lncRNA from 1 species